rnacentral:rRNA from 1 species
GACGAACGCUGGCGGCGUGCCUAAUACAUGCAAGUUGAACGCACAGUUUAUACCGUAGCUUGCUACACCAUAAACUGUGAGUUGCGAACGGGUGAGUAACGCGUAGGUAACCUGCCUGGUAGCGGGGGAUAACUAUUGGAAACGAUAGCUAAUACCGCAUAAUAUUGAUUAUUGCAUGAUAAUUGAUUGAAAGAUGCUAUUGCAUCACUACCAGAUGGACCUGCGUUGUAUUAGCUAGUAGGUGAGGUAACGGCUCACCUAGGCGACGAUACAUAGCCGACCUGAGAGGGUGAUCGGCCACACUGGGACUGAGACACGGCCCAGACUCCUACGGGAGGCAGCAGUAGGGAAUCUUCGGCAAUGGACGAAAGUCUGACCGAGCAACGCCGCGUGAGUGAAGAAGGUUUUCGGAUCGUAAAGCUCUGUUGUAAGAGAAGAACGGGUGUGAGAGUGGAAAGUUCACACUGUGACGGUAUCUUACCAGAAAGGGACGGCUAACUACGUG